rnacentral:rRNA from 1 species
AACGAACGCUGGCGGCAGGCCUAACACAUGCAAGUCGAGCGAACCUUCGGGUUAGCGGCGGACGGGUGAGUAACGCGUGGGAAUAUGCCCAUCCCUGCGGAAUAGCCACUGGAAACGGUGAGUAAUACCGCAUACGCCCUUCGGGGGAAAGAUUUAUCGGGGAUGGAUUAGCCCGCGUCUGAUUAGGUAGUUGGUGGGGUAAUGGCCUACCAAGCCUACGAUCAGUAGCUGGUUUUAGAGGAUGAUCAGCCACACUGGGACUGAGACACGGCCCAGACUCCUACGGGAGGCAGCAGUGGGGAAUCUUAGACAAUGGGCGCAAGCCUGAUCUAGCCAUGCCGCGUGAGUGAUGAAGGCCUUAGGGUCGUAAAGCUCUUUCGCCAGGGAUGAUAAUGACAGUACCUGGUAAAGAAACCCCGGCUAACUCCGUG